UGUAGAUGUUGAGAGAUCUGAACAUCAUAAAUCCAUAAGGAGCUUCAUUCAUCUGCGGACUGAGCUGCCCGUUUACAGACUGAGGGAAUCACAUUCAGUGGCGCGGCUCCAGCAGACCUUCACAGAAGUUGGUUGAAAGCCUCGAAUGUGAAAACGAGUGGAACACCAUGAGCUUUCAAAACAACCGAAGGGAUUUAAUUACACAUACCUGGACAACUUACAGCAUGGAAAAUCCCUGAGCGCUCGCCGCCCACGCCUGCGUCCAUCCCAGCGACCGACAGCUGCAUAAUCAGACUAAUAAUGACGGCGGGUAACGAGUCCGGCGAGCUCAUCGAUCGGUGCAGCUGUCAGUCAUUUACAGUGACCUCCUGCUCCGGUGCCGCUGUUAUUCUAGGCACAGGUUUGGAGACGUUUGCAAAGCACUAAUACAGGUUCGAGGGUCCUGAUGGCAUCUUCAGCGUGUUUGCACUUGAAUCUUGUGUACUGUAAAGUAAAACGGUUUUAACGUUAAACCACUAUGCUUUUAAUUUGGCGAAAAAAAAACUUUUGUUCUCAACAGCUGGCUUAGAAGCACUUCUCAUUACAAGUUUAUGAAUAUAGUUGGCACAUGUUGUGCAUAUAUUUAUUGAAUUAAAUCUCAGUCUUUGUGAUUUGAUAAUCACAGAUUUACUUUGAUUAAUCAUGCAGCAUAACCAGAUCCAAACAAACCUUCAACAGAACAGUGACGUGUAGAGCUUACAUUCAUCACACACACUUGGCAAAGAUAAAUCAACAUGGAAAUGUAAAAAGUAGCGGUGUAACAAUAUACAAACUGAACCGAAAAAUAGUCGUGAAGCGGCAGCAGUGUAAACGAACAGAAGAGCAUUUGUAAGCAUUUACUGUAAUUCUCUCUUCAAUUUAGCUGUUGUGUCAUGCUGCUGUAGAAACAAACAAAUAUACUAUGA